AUAGGCAAUAGGCACUGUAAGGUCCUUUUGCUCAAACUCGUGCCCGAGGAUGAGUCGGCGGCCGAUUAGGUAGUUGGCGGGGUAAAGGCCCACCAAGCCUUGGAUCGGUACGGGCCAUGAAAGUGGUAGCCCGGAGAGGGACACUGAGAUACUGGUCCCAGCCCUACGGGGUGCAGCAGGCGCGAAAACUCUCCAAUGUGCGAAAGCGUGAGAGGGGAAUUCCUAGUGCUCAGGCAUUAGCCUGGGCUUUUGCCAUGUGUAAAUAGCAUGGCGAAUAAGUGGUGGGCAAGACUGGUGCCAGCCGCCGCGGUAACACCAGCGCCACGAGUGGCGAUCACGAUUAUUGGGCCUAAAGCGUCCGUAGUCGGCUUGGUACAUCUUCUGUGAAAUCGCAGCGCUUAACGUUGCGGCAUGCGGAAGACACGACCAAGCUUGAGACCGGGAGGCGUCGAGGGUACUCCGGGGGGACCGGGUAAAAUGGUAUAAUCCCCGGAAGACCACCUGUGGCGAAGCGCUCGACGAAUACGGAUCUGACGAUGAGGGACGAAGGCCAGGGGAGCAAACCGGAUAGAUACCCGGAGUAGUCCUGGCCGUAACGCU
rnacentral:rRNA from 1 species